rnacentral:rRNA from 1 species
UUGGAGGGCAAGUCUGGUGCCAGCAGCCGCGGUAAUUCCAGCUCCAAUAGCGUAUAUUAAAGUUGUUGCAGUUAAAAAGCUCGUAGUUGAAUUUCGAGAUCAGUACGCUGGUCGUGCCUUCGGUAUGCACUGGUGUCACUGGUUUCUCCCUUCUGAAGAACCGUCAUGUCAUUAAGUUGGUGUGGCGGGGAAUCAGGACUGUUACUUUGAAAAAAUUAGAGUGUUUAAAGCAGGCUCGCGCUUGAAUACAUUAGCAUGGAAUAAUGAAAUAGGACGUUUGACCCUAUUUUGUUGGUUUCUAGGAUCGACGUAAUGAUUAAUAGGGAUAGUUGGGGGCAUUAGUAUUCAAUUGUCAGAGGUGAAAUUCUUGGAUUUAUUGAAGACUAACUACUGCGAAAGCAUUUGCCAAGGAUGUUUUCAUUAAUCAAGAACGUAAGUUAGGGGAUCGAAGACGAUCAGAUACCGUCGUAGUCUUAACCAUAAACUAUGCCGACUAGGGAUCGAAUGAUGUUAAUUUUUUAAUGACUCAUUCGGCGCCUUACGGGAAACCAAAGUGUUUGGGUUC